GGCUGAGAGCCAGUGCCCAGGAGACCCACUGCUUUAGCAUCUGCUUGAAAACCACGGCAACCCAGCUUCCGUGAAGGAGAGCAGGAUUACCCGCUACCCACCAUCUCACAUGCAGACCGGUGGCUAGCCUCGCUUCUGAAUGCACCUCUAACAGGAGAUACUCACUGGGCUCCGUCGCAGAAGACUGCUGUCAUUAUUUUAUUAUGACUGGACUAUAGAAGGCCUUACCUCAAAGGGGCCAGAGAGGGUGCCUGAAAUGUUCCAAAUACUCACCAGGCAGAAGCACUUAAGCAAGAAGGACCUGAGCCAAGGGCGUGUCCGCGUGUGGCCUUGGCCGGAGACUGGAUGCAGGCACGGAAGCCGGUGGGACGUCCUCAGGACAUUGAAGUCGUGGUGAACACUUGAUCACUUCCGGCCCAUGAGAUGCUGCUGCUUCUCCUGCAGCCUUGCCUCGCUGGGCCUCCUGUCCCGGGGCCUGCCUGGGGCCUGAGCAGCCCACGCCAGCGCCAGCUGUGAUGGCCGUUACCUGCCUCCCUGCCAACAGCAGCCACGACCCAGGGCCAGGCAACUCCAAGCCAGGAAGAGCAGUUCAAAUUGGCAUCAACUUCAUGGAGAGUAAUUCGGCAAUGCAGAGUCAGCCCAUCAUUUACCUAUUUGCUCCCGUGUAAAACCAAGAUCAAGGCAAGGAUGCCCACUGUCCCUACUUUCACCAACAUUUUGCUAGAGGUUUUGGUGGGCGGCCC